rnacentral:rRNA from 1 species
UACGUAGGGUGCGAGCGUUAAUCGGAAUUACUGGGCGUAAAGGUGCGCAGGCGGUUAUAUAAGACAGAUGUGAAUCCCGGCUCAACCUGGAACUGCGUUGUGACUGUAUGACUAGAGUACGGUAGAGAGGUGAAUUCCGUGUGUAGCAGUGAAUGCGUAGAUAUCAGGAGGACACGAUGGCGAGCAGAUCUCUGCGUGAACUGACGCUGAGAGCGAAGCGUGGGAGCGACAG